ensembl:lncRNA
AUGGGGAGGCCGGUGAAUGUUGUCAUGGUUACGGAGGCCUUGUGGAGCACCCAAAGGUCAGUGGUUCUCAACCAGUGGAUCCCCAGGUGUUUUGGCCCACAGCUCCCAGAAAUCCCAGUCAGUUUACUAGCUGGGAACCACUGCUCUAGCAAGAACAUUAAGAAAAGAAUGGCAAGAAAUGAUGAUCUCUUAAGAAAUCUACAGAAUAACUUGGAAGAACUGAACAGCCUCCGAUCCAAAUUCUUUGCAUCAACAAAACGUCCUCCAUCUAUACGUUCAAAGUCAUUGCUUCGUGACCAACAGCAAUUGCCAACAGAGAAUAUGAACAUCCAGCCAUUUGCUCCUAGGAAGAGUGUCCGUCAUCGAAAUCCUUACUGGCCUGAUGAAGAAAUUCGAACAUUUAUUGAGAUUUGGGGGGAUGACCAAGUCCAAGCCUCACUGGCCACUAAUUUUCGCAAUGAGGCUCAGUAUGAGUGGAUCUCUGAUAGGAUGCGAGAAUAUGGCUAUGACCGGGAUAUGAAGCAGUGCCGUUUGCGUGCCAAAGAACUUCGGCGAGGAUACAAGGCUAUUGUUUGUGGAAAUAAUUCCUCUGUGAGUGGUCAACGUGCCCUGCCCUUCUAUGAUGCCUUGAACAGUUUCCUGUGCAUGCACAAGGGCCUUGUGGUGUCCAAAGUUUCCCUCUCCAUUGAUCGGAGGAAUCGAGAAGCACAAAAACUGGGGCUGGAGCAGGAAAAGAAUGAGAAGCUAAGUGUUGUCCUUGUUUCUGACGAUGAUGAAGCAUCCAUUCCAGAACCUACAGAUGAAUCCAAUGGCUAUUUUCAAGAUGCACGGAUGGAUUCCGAUUUGGUGAAUGCACAGUCUCCAAGUGAUGAGUGGGAACAUCAUGGAGAAGAUGGCAUUCUGGCAGGUGAUGUGGCUUCACCCAGGUUUCACAACAGUAGAGGGGAGAGCCAUUCUGCAAAUUCAGGCCCAUCCAGCUCCUUCCCCAGGGAAGCCCUAAUUGAUGCUGACAGUAUGAGCAACCAUUGGAGUAGGAAGCAGAGGAAACAAGCUGAAGCUACCUCAGACAUUGUGGAUGCUAUAUCACAAGUGGGUGACAGACUAGUAAAUGCUCUGUCCGAUUUGCAUUCAAAACACAGGGAGACAUCCGAGCUUGCACAGACCAGGGAAAGUAAUGACCACAAGAAGGAGUUUGCCAUCCUGGCAAGCCAUGUGGACCAGGCUACAAAAAACAUUGAUAAACUCGUUUCUCUGAUGGAGACAUCUACUAGAAGAAUUGCAGACGCCAUGGACAGGCAAACAGCUGCCUUGGAAAACCUGGCACAAUUGUUUGCCACUCGAGUACCAGCUGUUUCGGUGCCCUUAGUUUCCCAGGGGCAUCCUACUCUUUCUUCUCCAAGUACCUCUGUACUGCUUUCAUCACUGCCAACAGGGCUGCACAAUUCCCUAAACUCUUUGGCACCAUGCCAUUCUGGUGAUCCCAAGCCAUCAGGAUCUUCAGCCCCCUCCGAGGCAGAGGAAUGUCAGCCCCAGGCAAAGAAAAUUAAAAAAGAAGAAGACUAG